UAGGGAAUCUUCCGCAAUGGACGCAAGUCUGACGGAGCAACGCCGCGUGAGUGAAGAAGGAUUUCGGUUCGUAAAACUCUGUUGUUAGAGAAGAACAGCGCAUAGAGUAACUGUUAUGCGUGUGACGGUAUCUAACCAGAAAGCCACGGCUAACUACGUGCCAGCAGCCGCGGUAAUACGUAGGUGGCAAGCGUUGUCCGGAUUUAUUGGGCGUAAAGCGAGCGCAGGCGGUCAAUUAAGUCUGAUGUGAAAGCCCCCGGCUCAACCGGGGAGGGUCAUUGGAAACUGGUUGGCUUGAGUGCAGAAGAGGAGAGUGGAAUUCCAUGUGUAGCGGUGAAAUGCGUAGAUAUAUGGAGGAACACCAGUGGCGAAGGCGACUCUCUGGUCUGUAACUGACGCUGGGGUUCGAAAGCGUGGGUAGCAAACAGG
rnacentral:rRNA from 1 species